rnacentral:rRNA from 1 species
CCUACGGGCGGCAGCAGUGAGGAAUAUUGGUCAAUGGACGAGAGUCUGAACCAGCCAAGUAGCGUGAAGGAUGACUGCCCUAUGGGUUGUAAACUUCUUUUAUAUGGGAAUAAAAUGUUCCACGUGUGGGAUUUUGUAUGUACCAUAUGAAUAAGGAUCGGCUAACUCCGUGCCAGCAGCCGCGGUAAUACGGAGGAUCCGAGCGUUAUCCGGAUUUAUUGGGUUUAAAGGGAGCGUAGGUGGAUUGUUAAGUCAGUUGUGAAAGUUUGCGGCUCAACCGUAAAAUUGCAGUUGAAACUGGCAGUCUUGAGUACAGUAGAGGUGGGCAGAAUUCGUGGUGUAGCGGUGAAAUGCUUAGAUAUCACGAAGAACUCCGAUUGCGAAGGCAGUUCACUGGACUGCAACUGACACUGAGGCUCGAAAGUGUGGGUAUCAAACAGGAUUAGAUACCCCAGUAGUC